AGCAGGUACAAGGGAAAUCUAUGCGAUAUCAAAAAGGAGUUGAAUAUGAACAAAUUUGAUGAAAAGAAAGAGCUGCAGAACCUCAACAGUAGGCUUGCUAUAUACAUGAGUAAUGUUCGGCAACUGCAGUUGACGAACGAUACCUACAGCAAAGAGCUUGAGGAGCUAAAGGGCAGCCGUGAUCCCUUCAUGAAGCAGCUGUAUGAGGAGGAGACGACGACACUGCGCAUUCAGGUGGAGCAGCUUAACAAAGAAAAUGCCCAUUUUGAAUUUAACAACCAGGAGCUCUCGGGAAAGCUGCAAGAAUUUGAAGACAAACUCAGCAAACAGGAAGUGGAUAAGGUCUCACUGAUUUACAUGGAGAAAAAAGUGAAGUCUCUGGAGGAUCAGAUCAUCCACUUAAAGAAGGUUCACAAUGAGGAGAUAACUCAGCUUCGGGCUCAGAACCAGUAUGUUCAGACUGAUAUGAACAUGGUCAGGCCCCAACUGACAGCUGCGCUCGAAGAAGUCAGAGAGUACUACGAGAGGCGUGCUCAAAUGAACCUCCAGGAGAGCCCGUAUACAUUACAGGAAACCACACAUAGUGAAACCAAGCAGAAGUUGGAAGUCAUUACCUAUCACGAAAAGGUGCAGACUCUCACCAGUGAGAAAGUGUCAAUGCAACAUACGAUUGAGGAGAUGAAAAGCAAAUUAUCCUCCACAGAAGUUAGUUACCAGGAGAAGAUUAAAGUGCUGGAGGCCGACAACUCCAGAAUGGAAAAUGCGAUCAAAAGCAACCAGUGCAAGUACGAUGAACUGUUUCAUGCCAAAGUGGCACUGGACGCAGAGAUUCUCUGUUACAGACAGCUGCUGGAGGGUGAAGAAAGAAGAAUUGUCAGUCCAGGUAGGUAUUGUUUCUUUAUUCUCCUUGUUCUCCUUAGUCCUUAUUCUGUCUCUCAGAGAUCUUUGCAACCCUUACAGGGCAGCAGGGCUGCUGCUAAGCUUUUGGGGGCCCUAAGCAUAAAUGGUUCUUUUUACGUCAUUUUUUAUGUCGUUUUGAAUGGCCACUGCAUACCCGUGUUUGUUGGCAUGUUGCAAAAUCUACGGAAUCUGUGUCUGUUGUAGACCACACAACCAUAGGCGUACAGUAGGUUUGGUAAUUUUGCCCCUCCAAUUUGCUACGCAUCGACGCACAAUGGCAGCCAAAGUGUAGCGAUGUGUAGCCUUGCGGAUGCGUUGACUCUGUGAGAGUCCAUUGUGUAGCCUCCGCCUGUAUUGUUCCUCCUGGUUGUCAAUGUCAUACAUUUGAACCUAAACUAUUCAGAUCGCCACCACGUGGCCAUACCAUGCCAUUACACCAUUAAGCAAAACACAUGAACACCUCUGGAAUCCCGACGGUGAUACGGAUCACUCCCAAAAUUUCAUCGUUUCUUUCUUGGGUCAUCCAACCUUGUCUGAAAUUUCAUCAAAAUCCAUCCAUUACUUUUAGAGUUAUCUUGCUAACAGACAGACAGACAGACAAACAAACACUGAUGGAAAACAUAACCUCCUUGGCGGAGGUAAUGAUCAGACAAAUAGAAUAAGGCUAGUCUGGAUAUCAUCCUACUAAGAUUAAUCUUUUAAGAUUGAACAUUUGUUUGGGGAGUCUGUGCAAGAGGUGUGAUCAGUGGGCAUAGUUCAAAUGACUCCGUACGCUUGGAUUCUCCUUCAACCAAUCAGACCAAUGAUCCGGGUGCGCCUGGGGGAAUAUGAACAGGAAGCAGGAGAGACAGAUGUGCAGGUUUCCAGCCUCAGCUGCAGGGCAAAAUCCAAAAUGUAUUUGUCGAUAAGAAAGAUGUUUUUACCCUGAUUGGUUCUAUCCAAUUGAAUAACUGUUCCAAAACUGUUGGAAAAACGGUUCCAUCGCGUGCAAGCAGAGCCCCAUGAUAGUCUACAAUAGUAAUAAGCCUUUCAUUUUGAUGACUAUAGACUUUAGACUAUCAUGACAGGGCCCAAAGUCACUGUAUCUGUGUUGUGCGUCACGGUUCUGUAUUUUUCAAAUGUUUGAAUAUGUUUAUAAAUGUAUCUUGUCUUCUGUAAAUGUAUUUUUUGUCAUCUGACGGCUUGCUCUGAUUUCUGCUUUUCUAGUAAAGGAAACGAAAAAGGUGGAUAAAAGUGUGACUAGGACACCAACAGCAACGGCCAUCCCUGAGGGAAAAGUUAGAGAGUCCUCAAAUCCCAAUUCUGUUGGAACCCAACAAUCCCCACAGGGGACCAAGCCAACAGCACAGGAUGG